UACGGAAAAAUCCGACAUGAAAAUGGGCCAAAAUUUCGUCCCUCUUGUAAAAGGAAAAUUUAAAAGGAAAAUGUUAGAGAAUAUAACCACAAACUCAUAGAGGUAUCCCACAUCAAAAUCGGGUUGAAAUGAGUCAAGUUAUGAAAAGUCAAGGUGCAGUUUUUGGUGCCCUACUGAAAACCAUUGGAAAUACGGAAAAAUCCGACAUGAAAAUGGGCCAAAAUUUCGUCCCUCUUGUAAAAGGAAAAUUUAAAAGGAAAAUGUUAGAGAAUAUAACCACAAACUCAUAGAGGUAUCCCACAUCAAAAUCGGGUUGAAAUGAGUCAAGUUAUGAAAAGUCAAGGUGCAGUUUUUGGUGCCCUACUGAAAACCAUUGGAAAUACGGAAAAAUACGACAUGAAAAUGGGCCAAACUUUCGACCCGCUUGUAAAAGGAAAAUUUAAAUGUAGAAUGUUAGAGAAUUCAACCACAAACUCAUAGAGGUAUCCCACAUCAAAAUCGGGUUGAAAUGAGUCAAGUUAUGAAAAGUCAAGGUGCAGUUUUUGGUGCCCUACUGAAAACCAUUGGAAAUACGGAAAAAUACGACAUGAAAAUGGGCCAAACUUUCGACCCGCUUGUAAAAGGAAAAUUUAAAUGUAGAAUGUUAGAGAAUUCAACCACAAACUCAUAGAGGUAUCCCACAUCAAAAUCGGGUUGAAAUGAGUCAAGUUAUGAAAAGUCAAGGUGCAGUUUUUGGUGCCCUACUGAAAACCAUUGGAAAUACGGAAAAAUACGACAUGAAAAUGGGCCAAACUUUCGACCCGCUUGUAAAAGGAAAAUUUAAAUGUAGAAUGUUAGAGAAUUCAACCACAAACUCAUAGAGGUAUCCCACAUCAAAAUCGGGUUGAAACGAGUCAAGUUAUGAAAAGUCAAGGUGCAGUUUUUGGUGCCCUACUGAAAACCAUUGGAAAUACGGAAAAAUACGGCAUGAAAAUGGGUCAAACUUUCGACCCGCUUGUAAAAGGAAAAUUUAAAUGUAGAAUGUUAGAGAAUUCAACCACAAACUCAUAGAGGUAUCCCACAUCAAAAUCGGGUUGAAAUGAGUCAAGUUAUGAAAAGUCAAGGUGCAGUUUCUGGUGCCCUACUGAAAACCAUUGGAAAUACGGAAAAAUACGGCAUGAAAAUGGGUCAAACUUUCGACCCGCUUGUAAAAGGAAAAUUUAAAUGUAGAAUGUUAGAGAAUUCAACCACAAACUCAUAGAGGUAUCCCACAUCAAAAUCGGGUUGAAAUGAGUCAAGUUAUGAAAAGUCAAGGUGCAGUUUUUGGUGCCCUACUGAAAACCAUUGGAAAUACGGAAAAAUACGACAUGAAAAUGGGCCAAACUUUCGACCCGCUUGUAAAAGGAAAAUUUAAAUGUAGAAUGUUAGAGAAUUCAACCACAAACUCAUAGAGGUAUCCCACAUCAAAAUCGGGUUGAAAUGAGUCAAGUUAUGAAAAGUCAAGGUGCAGUUUUUGGUGCCCUACUGAAAACCAUUGGAAAUACGGAAAAAUACGACAUGAAAAUGGGCCAAACUUUCGACCCGCUUGUAAAAGGAAAAUUUAAAUGUAGAAUGUUAGAGAAUUCAACCACAAACUCAUAGAGGUAUCCCACAUCAAAAUCGGGUUGAAAUGAGUCAAGUUAUGAAAAGUCAAGGUGCAGUUUUUGGUGCCCUACUGAAAACCAUUGGAAAUACGGAAAAAUCCGACAUGAAAAUGGGCCAAAAUUUCGUCCCUCUUGUAAAAGGAAAAUUUAAAAGGAAAAUGUUAGAGAAUAUAACCACAAACUCAUAGAGGUAUCCCACAUCAAAAUCGGGUUGAAAUGAGUCAAGUUAUGAAAAGUCAAGGUGCAGUUUUUGGUGCCCUACUGAAAACCAUUGGAAAUACGGAAAAAUCCGACAUGAAAAUGGGCCAAAAUUUCGUCCCUCUUGUAAAAGGAAAAUUUAAAAGGAAAAUGUUAGAGAAUAUAACCACAAACUCAUAGAGGUAUCCCACAUCAAAAUCGGGUUGAAAUGAGUCAAGUUAUGAAAAGUCAAGGUGCAGUUUUUGGUGCCCUACUGAAAACCAUUGGAAAUACGGAAAAAUACGACAUGAAAAUGGGCCAAACUUUCGACCCGCUUGUAAAAGGAAAAUUUAAAUGUAGAAUGUUAGAGAAUUCAACCACAAACUCAUAGAGGUAUCCCACAUCAAAAUCGGGUUGAAACGAGUCAAGUUAUGAAAAGUCAAGGUGCAGUUUUUGGUGCCCUACUGAAAACCAUUGGAAAUACGGAAAAAUCCGACAUGAAAAUGGGCCAAAAUUUCGUCCCUCUUGUAAAAGGAAAAUUUAAAUGUAAAAUGUUAGAAUAUUGAACCACAAACUCAAAGAGGUAUCCCACAUAAAAAUCGCGUUGAAAUGAGUCAAGUUAUAGAAUUUAGAAGUGUAGUUUUGGGUGCCCUACUGAAGCCACUGGAAAUACGAAUAAUCCAACAUGAAAAUGGGCCAAAACCCAAAAACGUUAACCCUCUUUUUAAAGA